rnacentral:rRNA from 1 species
AGCCACCCCCAGCCCAACAUACCACACCCAAUCAAGCAUCAAAAACUAACUACAAGCUUAAAACUAAAACAUUACAGCAACUUAGUAUAGGCGAUAGAAAAGAACUAUUUGGCGCUAUAGCAAGAUCGUACCGUAAGGGAAAGGUGAAAUAAUAGUGAAAUUCCAAGCUACAAACAGCAAAGAUUAACUCUUGUACCUUUUGCAUCAUGAUUUAGCAAGAACAACCAAGCAAAACGAAUUUAAGCUUGCCCUCCCGAAACCUAAGCGAGCUACUUACAAGCAGCUAUCCUGAGCGAACCCGUCUCUGUUGCAAAAGAGUGGGAAGACUUGUCAGUAGAGGUGAAAAGCCAACCGAGCUAGGUGAUAGCUGGUUGCCUGUGAAAUGAAUUUUAGUUCACCCUUGGCUCGCUCCUAAAGGUCAACUACCUACCCAGCCGCAGCAGCCAAGAGCAAUUUAAAGGAGGUACAGCUCCUUUAAAAAAGAAUACAACCUCCUCUAGCGGAUAAACUACUAACUUGUUCAACCUGUGGGCCUUUAAGCAGCCACCAGUAGAGAGUGCGUCAAAGCUCCCAUAAUAAAAAUAUCCUAACAACACAACUCCCUUACCCCCAACAGGCCAACCUAUCCCAAUAGGAGAAUCAAUGCUAAAAUAAGUAACUUGGAGGUACUUCCUCCUCUAUGCGCAAACUUACAUCACACAUUAUUAACAGAUCAAGAUACCUAAACCCCAACAAGAACGUGUAUUCCUGUACCUGUUGCCCCCACCCAGGAGCGCUAACCAGAAAGAUUAAAAUCUACAAAAGGAACUAGGCAAGCCCGAGGCCCGACUGUUUACCAAAAACAUAGCCUUCAGCCAUACAAGUAUUGAAGGUGAUGCCUGCCCAGUGACGACAAUGUUUAACGGCCGCGGUAUCCUAACCGUGCGAAGGUAGCGCAAUCAAUUGUCUCAUAAAUCGAGACCUGUAUGAAUGGCUAAACGAGAUCUCAACUGUCUCUUGUAGAUAAUCAGUGAAAUUGAUCUCCCCGUGCAAAAGCGGGGAUAGUCGCAUAAGACGAGAAGACCCUGUGGAACUUAAGAAUCACUAGUCACCUCCCUAAUACAAAACCUAGCAGGCCCAUUACCCAGAGAGCCCUGACUAACAUUUUUUGGUUGGGGCGACCUUGGAGAACAACAAAACCUCCAAACACAAGACCACAAAUCUUUACUAAGUGCCACCACUCAAAGUACUAAUAGUAACCAGACCCAGUAUCCAUCUGACCAAUGAACCAAGCUACCCCAGGGAUAACAGCGCAAUCUCCUCCGAGAGCUCCUAUCGACGAGGGGGAUUACGACCUCGAUGUUGGAUCAGGACAUCCUAAUGGUGCAGCCGCUAUUAAGGGUUCGUUUGUUCAACGAUUAACAGUCCUACGUGAUCUGAGUUCAGACCGGAGCAAUCCAGGUCGGUUUCUAUCUAUGACUGACUUUUCCUAGUACGAAAGGACCGGAAAAGUAGGGCCAAUACAACAAGCAUGCCCUCUCUUUAAGUAAUGAGCGCAACUAAAUUACAAAAGGAGCUCCCUCAUCCUAUCCUAGAAAAGGAUU